CUCGUGAUCCACCCGCCUCGGCCUCCCAAAGUGCUGGGAUUACAGGCGUGAGACACCACGCCCGGCCUGCUUCAUGUUUUUGCAAGGCCAGAGUGAGUGAAGAAAGGAAUGGAGGACAAUGCGGGAAGGAGGGGGAGGACUCUUUCAAAGGAGAUUCUUUGAGGAGUUCUUGGGAGGCAUAAUGAAAAUCUUCCCUGCACUGAGUUUGGGCAGGAAUGAAGGGACUAACACUCCAUUACAAAGCUUUUGGUGAAAGGAUGUGGUCCCGGUCUAUCCAUCCGCCAUCAUCUUACAUUUCCCCAGGCUGUAAGGAAGAGCCACUGAUACUUUCCUCCACUAAGAGAUGCCUCCGUCUGGAGGAUUGUGGGAAGAAAGGGUACCUAGGUGGGUUGGAAUUUCACUGGGCACUGUUCUAUUGUGAUGGCUUCACUGAGAUUGUUGGUCUUCUCUAAACUCCAGGAAUGUUCAGAGCCUUGGGCCCUCACACCCCUCAGCUGACCAGGCUCCCAGGAGCUUGCCAGUCCCGGGGACGUUCAGGCUAUUUGCUUCAUGCAUGAUACCCACACAUUCUCUCCAAAUCCCUGCUCUCCACAUGGGGAGCAGUGAUUACAUGGAGCUGGUUAAGUGGCUGCAUUUCAAAGUUCAUUUAGUUUCUUCUCCAUUCCAAGAGGCAGGGCUGGGGCCACCAGAAUCUUACAUCUCUGGCUUGGGUUUCAGCUCCCAGCCACUCUCUUUUACAGAGCCCACAAAGCGUGGACGGCCACCCAGCCUUCCCAGUUUACAUGAUCAUGGGGAGAGCCUGUCAAAAGAAAUGAUUCCAGCUCCUCUGUGAAGCCCUUCCUGAUCUCUUGUCAAACGGGAGACCUGAUCACUCUGCUACGUGCUUACCAACAACUGCACAGAGCCUGUGCUUAAGAUGGCAGGAUCGCAAGACAGAGCAACUGGAGCAAGUCCUCAUUAAGAAGAGCCGCCCGAUGCAUUUGGACUGCGAUGUGUUACGCCCAUGAGAUUUCAGGGUUAAUUUGUUACCUGGCCGUGGCCUAUCCUCUUCCAGCAGAUACAGAGGCUACUGCAGUUUGCAACUUUGCAGAUACCAGCAGAGGAAGAAAAACCUGGGAGACUGCUGCUAACCUAAUGUGGAGACUUGACUUAAACUUCAGCCAGACAAAGGCGGAAUCUUAAUAUGGAGGGGCCUGGCUCUGCAGGGAGGUCACCUGGGCUGGCUGGAUUUCAAUCCAGUUACACAGCAAAAAAGUUACAACCCAAGCUUUGGCGAUGCUGAGCCUUCUACUCUCAGGGAUUCCAAAGCAUUUGAUAAACUCUUUCUUUGUUCCAUUGUUUACUGACUUCCUAGUGCUUGUCUUGUUCUGCAGUUAUUUAUUUAUUUUUAUUUAUUAGUUUUUACUUAUGAUCUACCCCUCUCUCCCAUCUCCCCGCAACCUGAAGGUAAGGUGCAGGAAGUUAUGGCCUUUGCUUUGUAUGCCAUUACAUUCCCCCUCCCCAGGGAAGGGGUUAGCAUGAUGGUAGGAACUGUUCCCUCUUGGUGACAGAUAAGUGACUGGAGCAGAAUCCACUUCUGCUGAGAAGCUCUGGAUGACCACGGAUAAGCAGGAAGGCAUGUGACAUAUUGGCAAGUGAGUCAGACAGAAAGAGAGACGUGGGAUCGAGUCCUGGCAUUGCCCUUUCUAGCUAUUGUGUCCUUGGACAGGUAAUUUAGCUUCCCUGAGUCUGUUUUCUCAUCUGAAAAAUGAAGAUAGUAAUAAUUAUCCUCGUGGGGCUAUUGAAAAAGUUAAAAUAAUACAAGCAAAGCAUUUAACAUAGG
rnacentral:lncRNA from 1 species